UUUUCGGAUCGUAAAGCUCUGUUGUUAGGGAAGAACAAGUACCGUUCGAAUAGGGCGGUACCUUGACGGUACCUAACCAGAAAGCCACGGCUAACUACGUGCCAGCAGCCGCGGUAAUACGUAGGUGGCAAGCGUUGUCCGGAAUUAUUGGGCGUAAAGGGCUCGCAGGCGGUUUCUUAAGUCUGAUGUGAAAGCCCCCGGCUCAACCGGGGAGGGUCAUUGGAAACUGGGGAACUUGAGUGCAGAAGAGGAGAGUGGAAUUCCACGUGUAGCGGUGAAAUGCGUAGAGAUGUGGAGGAACACCAGUGGCGAAGGCGACUCUCUGGUCUGUAACUGACGCUGAGGAGCGAAAGCGUGGGGAGCGAACAGGAUUAGAUACCCUGGUAGUCCACGCCGUAAACGAUGAGUGCUAAGUGUUAGGGGGUUUCCGCCCCUUAGUGCUGCAGCUAACGCAUUAAGCACUCCGCCCUGGGGAG
rnacentral:rRNA from 1 species